rnacentral:lncRNA from 1 species
GGAAAUAUUGCAGUCACAAACUCACAUUACCACAAACAAACAAUCUACCAAGAUCGAAGCGAAGCUAAGACCGAUCGGAUCAUAUGGCGAUAAAAAGCCAAGCUCUGCUUGCGAUUUUCGUCCUGACACUUUUGAUAAGCUCAAGCAUUUCAGAUGCAAUUAAUAUUGCACAAAAAGAGUCAGCUGGUUAGUAUGUAUAUAUUGUGUAUGAGAUUUUGUCGAUCGACCUUAUUUUGAUAAGUUGAAAUUGCGAAAAUGUCGAUCGAUCGCAAGGGUGGUUGGAUUUUCUCAUACUAGCUAUCUCAUCGAUCGAUCUCAUUCAAAUUUGAGCCUAUAUAUAUAUCUCACUCUUUCUGUUUCGAUAUACAGACAAUUUAAUGGGCGAAAAUGCAGUUGAAGGAGAAGAGAGUAAACACUACAAUCCCGGGCGAUGGUGCUGCCGUUGGAAACUUGUAUGGGUACCAUAUUACCGAGGCGGACAUCACUCUGGAGGACAACAUCAUGGACGAAAACGAUAUAUUUGUGUAAAAUGGUGUCAUGGAUAUGGCCCUUAUGGCCCUCACUAUUAAUUAGAACACUUAUGUGCAUAUCAUAUAGUAAUGGGCAUUGUUUACCUAAAUAAAUCAAGCCCUAUAUAUCUAAAUAAGGUCUCAAAUCAUGAGGUUCAAUCUCUUUUGAUACCAAAAUAAACCCUAUGUAAUCGUGUGUGACGACGUGAUGAUAGACAUCAGAUAUAUAUAUAUACAUGAAGUUUAAAACGUCAUGAUGCGCCAUGUAGGAUGAAUGACAAUAAAAUAACUGUUGGAUUAAAUAAUGACGGGUUGGAUCGAUUCCAC